GGGAUGUUAACGAAUUGGUCCACUACAGAAACAAGACUUCAUAAGUUCAGGGACUUGAGGAUGGAACAAAAAACGGGAAGACUCAACCGUCUUCCGAAAAGAGAGGCAGAUGUGGUGAAAAGACAAUUAUCUCGCCUGCAAACCUAUCUGGUUGGUGACCUGAUGACAGGGGAGCCGGCGGCCGAUGCCCCGGUGAACGGCGGUCGUAACUAUAACGGUCCAAAGGUAGUGAAAUCCUUGUCGGGUAAGUUCCGACCCGCACGAAAGGCGUAACGAUCUGGGCACUGUCUC
rnacentral:ncRNA from 1 species